UGUUAUUUUAUCUUUUAUUUAUCAUCACCAGUUGCCCCAAACAAUAACAAUUAGCACUCAUAAGUUGGUUUGAUAUAACUUAUACCUAUGUGGUAGAGAUUUUCUUGGAAUCAAAAUGGCAUCUGUAGUUCAUUCACCUAAGCUGGGUAAACUAGCAAAGCAUAGCAAAUAGUGCAUACUUUAUGUAGUCUCUGAGCAUGCUUAGUGAAGUCUGCAUGAGUUGUUAUAAACAUUUUUCAGAAUAAAUCACGUACAUGCAAAACACACUAUGAGCCACACUGCUGCACUUGGUGACACGUUUCUAACUCGUGAAAAAUGAUGUUUUUUUUUUCUUUAGAAAAAAGCUCCAGAGGCUGAGAAUGGGCCUCAGUCUUUGAAGUAAGAAAGUCAACUGCUCAUGAGCAGCAUCUCUGCUCUGUUUACACUACACCACUAACCUCUCACAUGUUAUGUGUACUUGCUCUGCUAAACCAUCAAGGGCAUGAUUAAAAGGAGCUAUGUCCACAUAACAAAUGCCAAUCUCUUCUAUGAACUCAUUGCCUACGCUCACCUGCUACCCUAAGCUCCAUUCUACAAUUUACCAAAGACCAGAAGCAGGAUUUCACUUUGUUCUUUACUUCUUUGUGUAUUGUACCGUAUAUUGAGCCACCAGACAUGGGCUGACAGACAAACAAGGCUUUUUACCUGAGAGGUACUCUGACCAUUCUCCUGUAUCUCCUUCUUUACUCAGUUGUAGGGAGGUAGAACCAUUCUGGUUCCCAAACAAGCUGUAGCCAUCUUCCAGAAAAUGUUUAUGCACGACAUAUAGGACAGGAUAGGGUCCUUUUCUAUUCACCAUCUAAUCAGUUUUAGGUGUUGCCAGAAUUUAUGAGGCAAACCUAAUGGGUGUUCCCGUACCUGACCUGAGCUCAAAAAAUGUCUUAAGACUGGUGGCCUCUUGGAUGGUUGUGAUUUUAUCAUCCAAUGGGGACAGGUCCACUGCAAUGACAGUAAUUUCCAAGUAUGUCACAAUUCAGUAGGUGCCCAAAACAUAUUUCUUUCUUUUGAGUCAAGGCCCAGUAUCUAAAAGACCUGAUCCAGGCUGCAGAGUGCUCUGCUAUUUUGACACUGGCAAUCAAAAUGUUUUCAAGGUGCUCAUGGCACAUGAGUAGCACCAUGGAGCAGAUUGUCCAUUGCUCUCAAGAAAAUGGUGGGUCUGGAUGCCACAAGCACCAGGCCAAGUUUGACCAGCCAUGUGCAAUGGAUAGCCAACAGUUUGAUUACCUCAGUGGGUGGUUUUACUGACAACUUCUUUCACUCUACUUUAUUGCUGAGCACUGAUCAGUUGGAGGAGUGUGAAGUUCAAUGAAAAUCUACAGGUCAUUGGUGGACAUGGUGGACUACUUCUGCACUAAUUGGUUGCUCCUAACAAAUCAUAGGCUAGGCUUGUAAAAGCACGCUUUGGCCUGCAGUUUGUCUUUAAUGCAUAUGCCUUUCAAAAUGUCACAGUGUCCUUCUGAUGUACUUGAUCCACAACUUUAGCUUACCUUGCACUAACCUGUCUUUUUCAUACUGUCCUUUGACUAAACGAUCUGCUGAAACCACCACUGAUUUGUGUGUGGGUUUGUAUGUGUACAACAGCCUUACAUUUUUGGUGAUGAAAGAGAAAUGGAUUACAUGUACAUAAUUUCUUGUAAAGCCCUCUGAGUGACUGAAAGUGAUGUCCCAAAUCAGUGUGAAAUGUUAGUGACCUCGAACAAGGCCAGCUUGCCUUAGAGCAUGUCAAACACAAUGCAAAAAUCCCAGUGCCUUAACUGGAUUAUCAAGGACUGCUUUGGUGGUGAUGUUUUGAAGAUCAUUACCUAGAAGAUCAUAUGCACCUUGCACACAGCUUUUCAGCUUUGUUUGUAGUCACAUCACAGUCUCCGUCUCUGUCUAUACUCCAUCCAAGCAUUAGUUUUCUCCACAUUUUUACUGAAAUUCUCAAACAGAGGCAUAUUUCCAUGGAGAGCCAUUCAUCCUCACACAUCCCCUUGAAUCAUCUGUCUAACUUGCAAAGGAUAUUUCUCAGAAUCACAUUUGCUCAAUUGAUUCCUAGAUUAAAGUUAGGAACUGGAAUUUUGUUAAAGAGAAACAGAACUACAGAGCGAUUGUACAAGUGUUAUGGUUUGUGGACCUCGCUUCCUGUUUUUCUGUUGUUUCCCCCUGGAUUCCCUGUCACUCCCUGCCUGUCAUGUCCUAGCCAGCAUAAUUAUUCAUCAUUACAUCCACCUGCCACUCAUUACCUCCCGGUUCAGUUUCUUAUAUAUACACCCCCUUUCCGUUUGCUCCCCACUGGUUCAUUGUCUACGCUCACCUGCUACCCUAAGCUCCAGUUCUCCAUUUCCCAACUCUGCACUCUCCAGCUUUCCGUUUCACGGCUCUGUGUUCUUGCUCCCCCAGCUUCAGUUCUCCAUUCCCUGACUCAGCACUCUCCAGCACAGCACUCAGUCUCAGGUUCUCUGUGCUGGACCAUCAACCAUCCUGGGACCUCUCUGUCUUCUGGCUGUUGGUGUCUCUUCAAUGUCUGGACCUGAAUCGUCCUUCAGGAAUCCUGGGCCUUUUAUUGGUUAAUUUCCUGUUCAUUUGUUCACUGACUGUCUAUACUAUAAACCUACUGUGUUGAUUUAUUCUGUACAGACAACAUCUAUUGCAUGUCUGUCACUCCUGGAAGAAGCAUCCCUCCUCUGUUACUCUUCUUGAAGUUUCUUCCAUUUUUAUCUGCAUUAGAUUUUUGUGGGCUGGCAGUUUUUCCUUAUCCAGUUCGAGGGUCUAAGGACAAAUAUAAAUGAACUUGAUUCAGCUUGACUCGACUGGUACUGUAAUACAUGUCAGUUUUAAUUUUACACUCUCAUAUCUCAAAUUAUUACCAACUGAUGUAGUCUAAUAUCGCAUAAAAGUGUCAAGGUAUAUAGAAGUGUGAUGAUUCAGAGUGGGGAAAUGUGUUUAAAAAACAAGGUGUUAUUCUCAGGAAAUGAUACUCUAUUAUCAAGGUCAGCAAUGUUGUGGUUACCUUGCUGAAUCUAAAUCUGUACAGGUAAUCCAAAUAAACAAAUAAUGAAAGUGA